rnacentral:rRNA from 1 species
CCUACGGGGGGCAGCAGUGGGGAAUAUUGGACAAUGGGGGCAACCCUGAUCCAGCCAUGCCGCGUGUGUGAAGAAGGCCCUCGGGUUGUAAAGCACUUUCAGUGAGGAAGAACGCCUGGUGGUUAAUACCCAUCAGGAAAGACAUCACUCACAGAAGAAGCACCGGCUAACUCCGUGCCAGCAGCCGCGGUAAUACGGAGGGUGCGAGCGUUAAUCGGAAUUACUGGGCGUAAAGCGCGCGUAGGUGGCUUGAUAAGCCGGUUGUGAAAGCCCCGGGCUCAACCUGGGAACGGCAUCCGGAACUGGCUAGCUAGAGUGCAGGAGAGGAAGGUAGAAUUCCCGGUGUAGCGGUGAAAUGCGUAGAGAUCGGGAGGAAUACCAGUGGCGAAGGCGGCCUUCUGGACUGACACUGACACUGAGGUGCGAAAGCGUGGGUAGCAAACAGGAUUAGAUACCCGAGUAGUC